rnacentral:piRNA from 1 species
UGAAACGGUAAAUGUUUUUCUCUGGGUGU